CACCUUCAUUUGCUGCAUCUAGACCGCCUGAGCACUGGCAAGGUCGCCCGGCCCGAUUCUGCAUGCGGGCACACUUGUGCCCGUUGGGCGUGGAUGCGCUGGUUGGUU
rnacentral:SRP_RNA from 1 species